AUACUUAGAACUACUUACCGUGGUGUCUUCACUGUGGUAGGUCAACUGCUGAUGCUCCCUCAUCGACUCCACCUACACUUCUCGCUCCAGUGGAGUACCGGAGUCAAAGGGAGAGCUCUCGGUGGUCAAUUUAUCAUGUCUUCACUAGACACGAUUAAUCGACCCCCACUGGAUUGAUUACUCCAGAGGUCAUCACUAGGCCUCCAGUCCACAAAACAGAAGUGCUCGAACACAAGGGGUGCUCCACUGUCCAGGCAGCUCUUCUACCCAUCUCCUGACAUAGCUCAUGCUGUCCUGACCACAACACCACCAGCUUCCUCCAUGCUGACCCACCACCAAGUACCCCCUGUUGGCUCAGAGGAUACUAUGCAGUUGGGGUUGGAAAAGAAGCCGUCUGACCCAGGAUUGACAGAAGUACUGGAAUGCCAUUCUGGCUCCCCACCAAAAAAACUGCUGUAAUGGCAUUCACGAGCAUUCUGGCAUGAUUUGAGUGCUAAGUGUCAAUACAGGAUUGAGUUAAGUUUGC